AGGUUGACCCUGCCGGACCUGACUGCUAUCUGAUUGGUACUAAGCCAUGCGAGUCGUUGUACAAUACAAGGCGGACUGCUCAGUAACACGUAGUUAACUUAACCUAUGGAUGGGGAUAACCUCGGGAAACUGAGAAUAAUACCCAAUGGACCACAGUGCCUGGAAUGGCCUGUGGUUGAAAUGAUUUAUCGCCGUAGGAUAGGACUGCGGCCUAUCAGCUUGUUGGUGAGGUAAUGGCCCACCAAGGCUAUAACAGGUACGGGCUCUGAGAGGAGGGGCCCGGAGAUGGGUACUGAGACACGGACCCAGGCCCUAUGGGGCGCAGCAGGCGAGAAACCUUUGCAAUGUGCGAAAGCACGACAAGGUUAAUCCGAGUGUCUCCUGCUAAAGGAGUCUUUUGUCAGUUGUAGAAUCACUGGUGAAUAAGGGGUGGGCAAGUUCUGGUGUCAGCCGCCGCGGUAAAACCAGCACCUCGAGUGGUCAGGAGGUUUAUUGGGCCUAAAGCAUCCGUAGCCGGUUGCAUAAGUUUUCGGUUAAAUCUAUGCGCUUAACGUAUAGGCCGCCGAAAAUACUGUGCAGCUAGGGAGUGGGAGAGGUACCCGGUACUCGAUAGGAAGGGGUCAAUCUUUGAUCUU
rnacentral:rRNA from 1 species